rnacentral:SRP_RNA from 12 species
CGCUUUUACUGUACACACGGCCGGCACGGGGAGCAGCGCACGGGAGGACGCCUGCUCUCGGGGGCUCGGCCGUAAGGCAAGGUAA